rnacentral:piRNA from 1 species
UUGCUCCUUCAGCUGCCCAUGUAGCUGUGCCU